rnacentral:rRNA from 1 species
AUUGAACGCUGGCGGCAGGCCUAACACAUGCAAGUCGAGCGAGCGGCGGACGGGUGAGUAAUGUCUGGGGAACUGCCCGAUGUCGUGGGAUAACUACUGGAAACGGUAGCUAAUACCGCAUACUAUCGGAUGAACCCAUAUGGGAUUAGCUAGUAGGUGGGGUAAAGGCUCACCUAGGCGACGAUCCCUAGCUGGUCUGAGAGGAUGAUCAGCCACACUGGGACGGAGACAAGGGCCAGACUUCUACGGGAGGCAGCAGUGGGGAAUAUUGGACAAUGGGCGCAAGCCUGAUGCAGCCAUGCGGCGGGUAUGAAGAAGGCCGUCGGGUUGUAAAGGACUUUCAGCGGGGAGGCGUUACCCGCAGAAGAAGCACCGGCUAACUCCGUGCCAGCAGCCGCGGUAAUAC